GGGACACGUGGUAUCCUGUCUGAAUAUGGGGGGACCAUCCUCCAAGGCUAAAUACUCCUGACUGACCGAUAGUGAACCAGUACCGUGAGGGAAAGGCGAAAAGAACCCCGGCGAGGGGAGUGAAAAAGAACCUGAAACCGUGUACGUACAAGCAGUGGGAGCACGCUUAGGCGUGUGACUGCGUACCUUUUGUAUAAUGGGUCAGCGACUUAUAUUCUGUAGCAAGGUUAACCGAAUAGGGGAGCCGAAGGGAAACCGAGUCUUAACUGGGCGUUAAGUUGCAGGGUAUAGACCCGAAACCCGGUGAUCUAGCCAUGGGCAGGUUGAAGGUUGGGUAACACUAACUGGAGGACCGAACCGACUAAUGUUGAAAAAUUAGCGGAUGACUUGUGGCUGGGGGUGAAAGGCCAAUCAAACCGGGAGAUAGCUGGUUCUCCCCGAAAGCUAUUUAGGUAGCGCCUCGUGAA
rnacentral:rRNA from 1 species